rnacentral:misc_RNA from 1 species
AACCAUAGAAACCUGCGGAGUACCUGCGGAGGGAUCAUUACCGAGUUUACAACUCCCAAACCCCUGUGAACAUACCUAUACGUUGCCUCGGCGGAUCAGCCCGCGCCCUGUAAAACGGGACGGCCCGCCCGAGGACCCUAAACUCUGUUUUUAGUGGAACUUCUGAGUAAAACAAACAAAUAAAUCAAAACUUUUAACAACGGAUCU